rfam:Gossypium arboreum cultivar AKA8401 contig_1160_3, whole genome shotgun sequence.
UGUUAGAAAUUCCAUCUACUUGUACUGUUAAAAACUAGUGUGGCUAGAAGAAUAAUCAAACAGCAACACAUGGCGUGCCAUGUGUACUCAUGCUGACAUACAUGGACCAAAUUUUAAUAGUAGAAUUGAUGGAAUUUUUAACA